UGGGGGAUAUUGCACAAUGGGCGAAAGCCUGAUGCAGCGACGCCGCGUGGGGGAUGAAGGCCUUCGGGUUGUAAACUUCUUUUGCUCUGAACAAGGCAUGCCUUUGGGGUGUGUUGAGUGUAGGGGUUGAUUAGCGCCGGCUAACUACGUGCCAGCAGCCGCGGUAAUACGUAGGGCGCGAGCGUUGUCCGGAAUUAUUGGGCGUAAAGGGCUUGUAGGUGGCUGGUUGCGUCUGUCGUGAAAGCUCAUGGCUUAACUGUGGGUUUGCGGUGGGUACGGGCUGGCUUGAGUGCAGUAGGGGAGGCUGGAAUUCCUGGUGUAGCGGUGGAAUGCGCAGAUAUCAGGAGGAAGACCGGUGGCGAAGGCGGGUCUCUGGGCUGUUACUGACGCUGAGGAGCGAAAGCGUGGGGAGCGAACAGG
rnacentral:rRNA from 1 species